rnacentral:rRNA from 1 species
UACGGGGGGAGCAAGCGUUGGUUCGGAUUUACUGGGCGUAAAGGGUGCAGUAGGCGGCGGGGCAAGUCUGAUGUGAAAUCCCGGGGCUCAACCCCGGAACUGCAUUGGAUACUCGCCUUGCCUAGAGUACUGGAGAGGGAACUGGAAUUUACGGUGUAGCAGUGAAAUGCGUAGAGAUCGUAAGGAAGGCCAGUGGCGAAGGCGAGUUCCUGGACAGUUGACUGACGCUGAGGCACGAAGGCCAGGGGAGCGAAACGGG